GAUGAACGCUGGCGGCGUGCCUAAUACAUGCAAGUCGAGCGAACAGACGAGGAUCUUGCUUCUCUGACGUUAGCGGCGGACGGGUGAGUAACACGUGGAUAACCUACCUAUAAGACUGGGAUAACUUCGGGAAACCUGAUCUAAUACCGGAUAAUAUAUUGAACCGCAUGGUUCAAUAGUGAAAGACGGUUUUGCUGUCACUUAUAGAUGGUUCCGAGCCGCAUUAGCUAGUUGGUAAGGUAACGGCUUACCAAGGCAACUAUGCGUAGCCGACCUGAGAGGGUGAUCGGCCACACUGGAACUGAGACACGGUCCAGACUCCUACGGGAGGCAGCAGUAGGGAAUCUUCCGCAAUGGGCGAAAGCCUGACGGAGCAACGCCGCGUGAGUGAUGAAGGUCUUCGGAUCGUAAAACUCUGUUAUUAGGGAAGAACAAAUGUGUAAGUAACUAUGCACGUCUUGACGGUACCUAAUCAGAAAGCCACGGCUAACUACGUG
rnacentral:rRNA from 1 species